rnacentral:rRNA from 1 species
GAUGAACGCUAGCGACAGGCUUAACACAUGCAAGUCGAGGGCAGCGGAGAGGAAAGCUUGCUUCCUCUGCCGGCGACCGGCGCGCGGGUGAGUAACACGUAUGCAACCUACCCCUGGCAGGGGGAUAACCCGGAGAAAUCCGGACUAAUACCGCGUAACACCGCGGGGAGACAUCUCCCCAGCGGUCAAAGGAUGCGAUUCCGGCCAGGGAUGGGCAUGCGGCGCAUUAGGCAGACGGCGGGGUAACGGCCCACCGUACCGACGAUGCGUAGGGGUUCUGAGAGGAAGGCCCCCCACACUGGUACUGAGACACGGACCAGACUCCUACGGGAGGCAGCAGUGAGGAAUAUUGGUCAAUGGGCGAGAGCCUGAACCAGCCAAGCCGCGUGAGGGAAGAAGGCGCUCAGCGUCGUAAACCUCUUUAGCCGGGGACAAAACCUCCUCGCGAAGGAGGCUUGAGAGUACCCGGAGAAUAAGCAUCGGCUAACUCCGUG